AUUGAACGCUGGCGGCAUGCCUUACACAUGCAAGUCGAACGGUAACAGGUCUUCGGAUGCUGACGAGUGGCGAACGGGUGAGUAAUACAUCGGAACGUGCCUAGUAGUGGGGGAUAACUACUCGAAAGAGUGGCUAAUACCGCAUGAGAUCUACGGAUGAAAGCAGGGGAUCGCAAGACCUUGUGCUACUAGAGCGGCCGAUGGCAGAUUAGGUAGUUGGUGGGAUAAAAGCUUACCAAGCCGACGAUCUGUAGCUGGUCUGAGAGGACGAUCAGCCACACUGGGACUGAGACACGGCCCAGACUCCUACGGGAGGCAGCAGUGGGGAAUUUUGGACAAUGGGCGCAAGCCUGAUCCAGCAAUGCCGCGUGCAGGAUGAGGGCCUUCGGGUUGUAAACUGCUUUUGUACGGAACGAGAAGCCCUGGGUUAAUACCCUGGGGUCAUGACGGUACCGUAAGAAUAAGCACCGGCUAACUACGUGCCAGCAGCCGCGGUAA
rnacentral:rRNA from 1 species